rnacentral:rRNA from 1 species
AUUGAACGCUGGCGGCAUGCCUUACACAUGCAAGUCGAACGGCAGCACGGGUGCUUGCACCUGGUGGCGAGUGGCGAACGGGUGAGUAAUACAUCGGAACAUGUCCUGUAGUGGGGGAUAGCCCGGCGAAAGCCGGAUUAAUACCGCAUACGAUCUACGGAUGAAAGCGGGGGACCUUCGGGCCUCGCGCUAUAGGGUUGGCCGAUGGCUGAUUAGCUAGUUGGUGGGGUAAAGGCCUACCAAGGCGACGAUCAGUAGCUGGUCUGAGAGGACGACCAGCCACACUGGGACUGAGACACGGCCCAGACUCCUACGGGAGGCAGCAGUGGGGAAUUUUGGACAGUGGGCGAAAGCCUGAUCCAGCAAUGCCGCGUGUGUGAAGAAGGCCUUCGGGUUGUAAAGCACUUUUGUCCGGAAAGAAAUCCUUGGCUCUAAUACAGUCGGGGGAUGACGGUACCGGAAGAAUAAGCACCGGCUAACUACGU